AGAUGUUAACAAUACGCCACACUCAUGAUCCUGGAAGCUGUUCAAAAUCAAACCAUGGUGACUUGAUAUUAGUAAAAGAUCGGGAGAACAGAGAUACCAUAUUGGUUUGUACAGAAGAUGAUAAAGUUUAUAGCUGGAAAACAACAGACAGUAAGUCGUUCAAUUUCAAUCCUGGACAAAACAUUUCCGAUAUAUUCUUUCAAUCUUUUACCAGAUUUGGAAAUAUUAAUUAAAUACAAUAUUUCAAAUUUUCUUGAUGUAACACAAUUUAAUGGAGGAUAAUCACUGAUCACCAUUUUUGUCGGUGUUUGGCAAUUUUUUUGCUUGGGAACUUUUUUUCGUGUAUUUUUUAACAUCUGUGCUACUAUGAAUUACAGAAAAUCCAUUCCCCGGGAGUGCUACGAAAUUGCAUUUCUAUGCACUUUUUCUCGCAACAACCCGUGACAUAUAGGAUUUCGCUGUAAGAUAUUAUAAACUUGCAGCAUCUUGGUGGUAAUUCCUUCUUAAAAGUUAUUCCAUUUUAAUACUCACUUUGUAAAAUCCCCUAUCUUUCAUCUAUAAAUACUUGGGUUUUUUUGUUUGAAACACAAAUAUAUAGUAGUUGAAAACUUAAAAUAUUAUGGACAAUAGAGACUCGUUUCAAAAAGUCAAUAUCUGAGGGAAAAUAUUUCCAGAAUUUUCUUUUGAAACUGAUAAGCAGACAACAAUUUUAUAUUAUUAUCAAUUGAGUUCAAUAUCUUAGCUCCUUGAAAUCUAAUAUCAAAUAGUCCGUAAUUUGUCCUUACUUUGUCAAGAAAGUAAGAUACAGUAUCUUAGAGGAUAGUCGUGUGUCAUAGUCAGUGAAUCUGAUUGAUAGACCGAAGAAAUCAGAAAAAUAUAACGGUAUAGCUCAUUAGCAUAUGAUCGUUAAUGAGCAUCAAACGUGCAUCAAGGUGCAGCUAGCAGUUCAAAUAUUACGAACACGCGAAGCUAAACGUCUGUACUAUCCGGGAGGUACGCCGUACGCGCAACCAUAUUUCUAAAGCCAGUUUUCCACUUUAGUCUUGUCGCACCGUAGCGUAUUUCUUUUUUUCCUGAGCGGUACGUAGUGUGGAACUAAUGCAUGGCUUCGACACAAAAGAAAAUGCUACGAUACGCUACAAUACAGUUGAAGUAGAAAACAGGCUAAAGCUAAUUAGGUUAGAUUAAUUAAAUUGGUGUAUUGAAUCCCUUCAAGAUUCCAAACCACCAGGAGAAUAUUUUUACCCUGGUUACGAUUGUCUCGAUAUUCUGAACAAGAACACGAAAGCUAAAGUGGAUAUUACUGGGUUAACUUCAAUCGCGGAAAGCCGAAAAAGGUA